rnacentral:lncRNA from 1 species
GCAACGGUGACGUCACUCUGCAUGGUGGCGCUCGAGAGGUGGCCAGAAGUGAAGAAGGGGGCCGUUCCCAGCAUCUCGACGGUCAGUACCGAUAGCCUUUUUCGACGAGCAUUCGGCGUCGUCCGAAGGUGCCUCGAAGGCUACGUUGAGGGAUAAACGUGGAAUACAGCAACUGCGUAUACGAAAGGCGGACGGAACAGCCCAGCAAGGAACAUUUGGCAUUCGGAUGGCUACCCUUCCAUCACCCGGUGGCUCACCAACUGGCACCAUGGCUGAUUCUUCCGGUUUGGAGCAGCAGCCCACCGAGGCUACGACGUCGGAGCGACCAUCAAGUCACAAAGAGAGCUUCCCAGAUGAUAAAUGUGCUAUUUGCUUGGGACCGGUUGGGAACAAAGCAUUUCCCGAUGGCUGCAAUCACCAUUUCUGCUUCUCCUGCCUUGUUGAGUAGGCCAAAGUGAAAGCCGCAUGUCCCCUUUGUAUGCACCCAUUUAAAGGCAUAAUCUACAACAUCCGUUCAGAAAAAGAUUACGACCGGCACAUCGUCGGGGAGCUGCGACGUUCCUCGUUAUGGUCACUUAGUGCCUCUGCGAGCAGCAGUUUUUAUCCCCAUAAAGGUAUAUUAUGUUCAACAUCGACAAGAACGCGAGGGGCAGCCGCAGCUACACAAUGCAACUCUCCCAAAUCAAAUCAACAUCAGCAGGCCACGCAUAAGGACUGCUUUUAGGCUUCAAAUAUACCUUAGCGACCUAUGGGCUGUGUCCCACGUCCCCAGCUUCCACCAAGUGUCACCAGAGUUCUACCGUGCUAAUCCAGAUCAAGUUGACCGUCUGGCCCCCUGGCUCAACCACGAGCUAAAAGCAUUAAUGCAGCUCGACGAAACACGUGUGUUGGCUACUUCAAACAAUGUGUGGUCUCUAAUAUUGGAUUUGGACAUCAAGCAUCCCGACUUUUCUCGAAAAAUGGAACCAUUGCUCAACGCGCGUACAGAGCACUUCGUCCAUGAGUUCUAUUCAUUUGCAAGUUCAUCAUCUGAAACGGCUGACGAUUACGACAGUCGCACAGUGUACGCUUCAUGACCUAUUGGUUGGACUGAGGCUAACCCUGUCAAUUCUUUCAGGCUGUUAUUGCAGCGCUUGGAACGAGCAAGAGCUCGAACAUCACCUGCUGCACCAGUUGCCUCAACGUGUGGCCAGCCUGAUUCGCGUCGUGCUACUUUAAUGGUGGUGAAAUCAACCAUAGACAAUCUCUUUAGCUCUGACAGUUUCCGAUGACUUGGUAGACACAGUGGAAGACCAAGUCGGGGACAGAACUGAUGUGACCGACGAGGAGGCAGUUUGUGCAAGGGGCGUCACAAGUCCAUUAGAACAGGGUGCGGGACCAACUAACUCGCGUAACAGUAAUGAUCAUAAGCCUCUCAGUUGUUUGUCCCAGUUUGUCCCGGAGAGACGAAAAUGCGGAGUAGCCUUGGAGGAGUUAGGCUUGCCAUUGUGCAACAAGCGAUUUGCAAGGUGAUGCCGAUUACUACAUUCAGAAGCGUAACUCCAGACACAUGCAACAUAGGAUUUAAUGGAGGCGUACAAAAAACGUGCAUGAACGCCAAAACCAGGGUAGCAACGCAAUAAAACUUGGUGCAACAGCUUUGGUAGCUGGAGUAGCAAGUUGUCCGAAGGGGACCAGCCGUAUUAUCAGCCAAAAAGAUGUGUUUGGCGUUCUUGGUGCUGGCAACAUUAGCAAGCCGCGUGACGCAUUCGCCGCAAGGGACAUCAUUCUCACCCCCUCCAUCAUAGCGAACGCUGACUGGUUUUGGCAAAAGUUGACCGGAAAAUGUAGCUUCACAAGUCGCACUUGCAUACUUAAAUUUCUUUUUUGGUACGUCUUUCAUCUGUAUAUGUUUCAUUGGCUAAAUUUUUAGAUGUUCGUGUUAAUUUUCAUUCACCUGCAGUGUGUGAAAUCUAAAUCAUCUUAUUCCAUUGCUUUGGAAGCUUCGUCAUCCAUGGCCCACUUCACGGCAAAGUCAGCGACAUCGAUUUUAUUGUCGAUGCAUGAAAUUGUCUUAUCUCUACGAACCUGCUUUCAUCAUAGGACCCAACUUUCUGCCACCCUAGGCUGCGUUUUUCACCACAUGGAGUGUCGUUCUCACUUAAUGUUUCUAUAUGUUACGUGGCUAGCAAUACCUGGAUGCUUUACGUGGUCAGCCUUGGCACUUUUUAAAAGCUCAUCUCUAAGGAAACUGUACCUGGGUUGAGCGUCAUUGGCCCUCGCUGGAGCCUACUUAACGUGCACAGCUAAAGACCCUCCGUCAUACAAGCACACAACGCUCUUAAAUCUUUUAUCUGCGCCGGCUGGAUGAUUCUGGAACCUUCGUCAUUGAAAGAAAACCAAUAAAAUAUAAAAAAAUA